UACGAAGGGGGCUAGCGUUGUUCGGAAUCACUGGGCGUAAAGGGCGCGUAGGCGGCUUGAUAAGUCGGGGGUGAAAGCCUGUGGCUCAACCACAGAAUUGCCUUCGAUACUGUCGAGCUUGAGACCGGAAGAGGUAAGUGGAACUGCGAGUGUAGAGGUGAAAUUCGUAGAUAUUCGCAAGAACACCAGUGGCGAAGGCGGCUUACUGGUCCGGUUCUGACGCUGAGGCGCGAAAGCGUGGGGAACAAACAGG
rnacentral:rRNA from 1 species